rnacentral:rRNA from 1 species
AUUAUACCGUGAAACUGCGAAUGGCUCAUUAAAUCAGUUAUCGUUUAUUUGAUUAUACCUUACUACUUGGAUAACCGUGGUAAUUCUAGAGCUAAUACAUGCUGAAAAUCCCGACUUCGGAAGGGAUGUGUUUAUUAGAUAAAAAANCCAAUGCCCUUCGGGGCUUUUUGGUGAUUCAUGAUAACUUUACGGAUCGCAUAGCCUUGCGCUGGCGACGGUUCAUUCAAAUUUCUGCCCUAUCAACUUUCGAUGGUAAGGUAUUGGCUUACCAUGGUUUCAACGGGUAACGGGGAAUAAGGGUUCGAUUCCGGAGAGGGAGCCUGAGAAACGGCUACCACAUCCAAGGAAGGCAGCAGGCGCGCAAAUUACCCAAUCCCGACACGGGGAGGUAGUGACAAUAAAUACUGAUACAGGGCUCUUUUGGGUCUUGUAAUUGGAAUGAGUACAAUUUAAACCUCUUAACGAGGAACAAUUGGAGGGCAAGUCUGGUGCCAGCAGCCGCGGUAAUUCCAGCUCCAAUAGCGUAUAUUAAAGUUGUUGCAGUUAAAAAGCUCGUAGUUGAAACUUGGGUCUGGCUGGCGGGUCCGCCUCACCGCGUGCACUCGUCCGGCCGGGCCUUCCUUCUGAAGAACCUCAUGCCCUUCACUGGGCGUGUUGGGGAAUCAGGACUUUUACUUUGAAAAAAUUAGAGUGUUCAAAGCAGGCCUUUGCUCGAAUACGUUAGCAUGGAAUAAUAAAAUAGGACGUGCGUUCCUAUUUUGUUGGUUUCUAGGAACGCCGUAAUGAUUAACAGGAACAGUCGGGGGCGUCAGUAUUCAGUUGUCAGAGGUGAAAUUCUUGGAUUUACUGAAGACUAACUACUGCGAAGGCAUUCGCCAAGGAUGUUUUCAUUAAUCAGUGAACGAAAGUUAGGGGAUCGAAGACGAUCAGAUACCGUCGUAGUCUUAACCGUAAACUAUGCCGACUAGGGAUCGGGCGAUGUUCUUUUUCUGACUCGCUCGGCACCUUACGAGAAAUCAAAGUUU